AUAUCGAAUCAAUUAUCGAUCGAUGUGAGAGAUCGAUUUGACUCAUAUUUUAAUUUUCACAUACUUUCUAUUUUUAUGUAAAAGUAAUUAGAAUUUGUGAAACAUAAUUUAAACAUGAAUUAAUAAUAAUUAGCCGUAUUAGUGCAAAAAACGCAAAGUUCAAAACAGUAUAUAUCGUAGAGGCACUCAUCUUGACGUGUGAAGUUAGCACUAGAGAUGAUCAUCUCUGGCUCGAGCCAACUUAAUAGAGUUCUCUAUUAUAGGGGUUCACUUUCUUUCCGGCACGGAACGGGGUUCACUUUUCUUCCGGAACGGACGGGGUUCACUUUCUUUCCGGAACGGAACGGGACGCAGGACUGAUCAGCUCCCGAUCGAGUCUUCUUCGUCAAUCAUCUAAUCGAACGCAACGAAUGUGGAACGACCCGCCACCGCUAUCGUCGUGCAGAACAAGUGCUAUCGCCAAGUAUUUAAUCGAACGUGACGGAUGUGGAACGACCCGGCGCUAUAUAGAACGGCAUCGCAGAUCAUAACUGGCGCUGAUGCUAGUCAAAUAUCAGUCGCAUGAAAAAGGUGGCCGCUCUCAGGUUCCUCUCUACUUACAUCUACAAUAUUAAUUCGUUUAUUUUAACAUAUUGACAACAACCAUUAUAAUAAAAAGCAAAUAUUAUUAAAUGUUUGUUGCUUAUUAUUUGUUGCUUAAUAACAUUUUUUAACAAAAGCUAAAAAUAAAACUUUGAAAACAUGUCAAUUACUGAAAACUGUCUUCAGAUAGUAAAGCAAUUUUUAUAAUAAUAUUUUAUAUUUUGUAAUAAUUAUUGUUUUUGCAAUAUAACCAAAAACGAGUGUUUGAAAAAUUGGACAUGAAAAUUGGUAUAGUAUAGCAAUAGUGGUAAAAUUCAGGCAUAAUCCGUAAUAGAAGAAUUAAUUGUAAAAUAAAUUUUUAAAUUAAGACAUUUUUGUAGUAAGAUACAUUUUUAAGUAUUAAAUAACAAAGUUUGUAAAAUAAAGAAAAUUAA